rnacentral:rRNA from 1 species
UACGGAGGGUGCGAGCGUUGUCCGGAAUCACUGGGCGUAAAGGGCGCGUAGGCGGCGCGACAAGUCAGUGGUGAAAGCCCGAGGCUCAACUUCGGGUCGGCCACUGAUACUGUCGGGCUCGAGCACUGUAGAGGCAGGUGGAAUUCCGGGUGUAGCGGUGGAAUGCGUAGAGAUCCGGAAGAACACCGGUGGCGAAGGCGGCUCUCUGGGACGGUACUGACGCUGAGACGCGAAAGCGUGGGGAGCGAACAGG